rfam:Pan troglodytes isolate Yerkes chimp pedigree #C0471 (Clint) chromosome 16, whole genome shotgun sequence.
GCUGGGUGUGGUGGCGGGCGCCUGUAAUCCCAACUACUGGGGAGGCUGAGGCAUGAGAAUCGCUUGAACCCAGGGGGUGGGGGUUGCAGUGAGCCAAGAUUGGGCCACUGCACUCCAGCCUGGGUGACAGAGUGAGACUCUGUUUCAA